CCUCAGGAAGUAUUGUUGGACACUUAUAACAAUAACACAAUGCUGCCUUAAACAGUUUUUUUUUGUAUGCCUGGCUAGUUGUUAAGUAGAGAAAAAUAAAUCAAGCUAAUAAGUCUUCUUUUGAUUUUUGUCCAAUGGUAUAAGCCCCCAAAGCUUAAACCCUUCCAUCUUACCCCAAAGUGUUUCCGGUCUUGGCAAAAAUACGGACAUAGAACUCUCCGGGCUGGUUGGGUCGGUAAGUGGACGGCACAAUGAUGUAGUGGCCCGGGUCUAGGUGCAGCUUCCUCCAAGUUCCCCUGUGUGACAAACAUAAUGAGUUACAUUUAUGUAGACAAUAUUUUUGCUUAAUAGCUGCCACCAUCAGGGCCAUAUGCAACAGUAAGUACUCUUGAAUACAUUUUAUGGAUUGACUUUGUUGCUUUAUUUGGUUGUCCCUCGGAUGUUGGCAGCCUUGGCCAAAUUAUUGCUAUUUUUUUUGUUGGUGAUAAAGUAUUUUUUUUAUGACGAUCUUCGAAUCUUCCAGAUAACAACAAAAUGUUUAUUGUUUCCAAACUUUAAAAAGUGUGUUCAGAUCAUUAUCUUAUGCUCACAUGUUACAUAAAUGUCAAGGGUUAUGGUACUCAAAUGUCCAUCAAUUAUUCAUUAUCUUCUUCAAACUUUGCAUUCAAUAAAAAGAUACUACUUUUGAGGAACAGAUUUGUGACAUUGAGGUACACAUUUUAAGGGAUUACUCUUGAUUUAGGACACAGUAAGCACACAAUAACCUAAGUUGAAUAUGGCCUACAGUACUAAGUGAAAAUAAUGCAGAUUUUAUUGAACGUUUAUUGAAGAAUUACAAAUUCGAAGUCAUUAUUCUUGAUGAUGGUAUUUUACCUUUGAGCCGUAUAUUUUCCAGAGCGACCCACAGGGCGGUUGGUCAUGAAGAAGUUGCGGCUCAAACACGCACCCUGGAGCUGUAUAAAGACAGAUAUUCAGGAUCCUCCUUUAUAAAUUAUUACUAAGAAUAUUAGAUUAUUGUUUUAUUAUUUUAAGCAGAGAAUGAUUAUUUCUCCAUUGGCCCACCUCAGUAGGAACCUGCAAAUCCAAGAAACACAAAGACAGAUGUUAUUUCUUUCAGGAAACAAUCUAAAUGAAUGAAACCAACAAAUAAAAGUAGAGUGGAUGUGACCUGAAAGAUGUGGAAUGCAAUGUAAAGGAAGUUGAGUUUAUUCUUCUGCCUGCGGUCUUUCUGCAGCAUCUCCACCAGCACGGUGCACUUUUUGGCUUUCUGCUUCUGUUUCUCUGCUCUCUGCUUCUCUUCUGCGGUCAUCAGCUCAUCAUCCUCGUCAUCCUCAUCUUCCUCAUCAUCAUCAUCAUCAUCAUCGUCCAGCUCUGGCUGGUCCUGCUCCAUCAGAACCAACUGGAACUGAGGAUUCUUCCAGAAAGAUCCUGAGGGAACAAAGCAGAGCUUCCCGUUACCCAGAUUCCUUCAUGUUCGGUGAUGUUCCAGAGAGACGGGGAGGCAGGAGAGGAAGAAGACGCAGUGGUGGUUCCCUCCUCAAGAGUGUCAGGAUUCACACUGCAGAGCUCCACGAUGUCAAACAGCUCAAUCCUUUCUUUCUCCUCUUUGGCCACGUCAUCCCACUCCUUACCCCUGCAGCAGCACAAAGAGAAACUGAGUGGGUGAGCUCUUUCUUUAUAAACGGGCACAAACAGGAAGCUUACUCACCUGUCACUCCAGGGUCCGCGAUAUUCGAUAAAACCCCAGGGGUUCCUCAGCCUCAGCAAACAAAUCUCAUUGGACGCUUUCGUCACCUGUAGCGAUGAGAGAAGAAAGUUAUUCUAAAAUAUUGUUUGAUUGUUUUGUACUUGUAAUAAGAGAUGACAUGAGUCAAAAGUUGCCCAAAAUAUAUCCACAAGGUCAUGAGUAACAUUUUUGGAGCAUUUGAUCAUAUCACAGGGUCCUCUGCUGUCCAAGGUCAAGAAUGAGUUUUAUCAUUUUUGAAGGGGCCCUGUUAUGGGUUUUGGGGGUUUCCAUUUCCUGUAGUGUAUUAAAUAGAUUUCAAUGCAUAUAAAUGGUCUGCAUAGACUAAAAUCCCAAAGUUUUUUCUCCCACACACUCCCCCCCUAACUGAAAUGCCUCUUUUGGAAUCCUUUGUUUACUUCCGUAACAUAGUGACAUCAACAUGUAAAACUUGCACUUCUUGCCGGCCAGCUAAUCAUUCAGAGCAGACUGGGAUUUUCAAACAGGGUGAAAUGGGAUACUGCAAAACAGGCAGUAUGAGAAUAAUAAAGACCUUUUUGAACAUUAAAGCUUGUACACAUGUCACAGUAGAGGCACACAAUACAAAUAUCAACCUAAAAUGGGCCUGAUAGGGCCCCUUUAAUUCAACAUACAGAAAAACACCCUAAAGUGAAAAAAGUGAAGGACAUUUUUAAACCUCUUCAAAGACAAAUGGGCAGCAUUAUUCUAGAAGAAGAUCAUGGCAUUCGAUCAAAAGCUUUAGGACAGAUACUGAUGGACUUUGUGUUGAGAUUUCUAUCAACUAUAAUAUAUUACAUUAUGAGAGAUUUUUUUUAAAGAUAUUUUUUGGGGGCUUUUUGCCUUUAAAUGGAUAGGACAGUGGAGAAUGACAGGAAAGUGGGAGAAAGAGUCGGUGUGGGAUCCGGAAAGGACCACGGGUCAGGAAUCGAACCCGGGUCGCCGGCGUACGGUGCAGGUGCCCCAGCCAGUUGCGCCACGGCCGGGGCCAUUAUGAGAGAUUUUUACCAUAAAAAUGCCACGCAAUGUUAAGAUGAGACACAAACUGGGUGGUGGGUUGGAUGAUGAGAAAUUAUUUGACAGGAAAUAACAUGACAUUAAAUUACAUUUCAGUGAGAAUAUAUAGGAAUAAAUAGGAUUAUACUAAUAUGAAAUACAAUGAUGACAUUGUUGUUUAGAAGUCUUUGAGGAAAACUGAGUCAUACUGGCCUUGUCGGUAUCGGUGAUGGCGUAAGCGUGACCUUUUAUCAGCCCGUUUCCUGUCACUUUUCCGAUCUCAAGGUAGCUGCUGGCCUGUGAAGAUAGAGCGAAUAGCUGAAGUGGCUCUAAGGAGCAUGGAGCAUUGCAGAGUGUGUUUUGGGUACCUGGAUGAAGCAACUGAGUAGGCUGCCUCGAGACAGGGCGGCUGUCAGAGACCUCCAGAGGACUCGAGGGGUGCGGGAUGAGACCUGCAGCGAGUAUGCGAUGCCUCCUGUAAAGUCCUCCAUCCCCUCUGAAAUGUUGCCCCCUUUCAGGCUUACAUAGGAUCCGACUAACCUACAUACGAUGACGUGAGAAAGAGUAUAUUUAUCACUGCAGCGACACACACAGAAAAAGAGUGGGUGAUAUUACAUUAGACAUUACAACCCUCAAACAUAUGCUUGGUAGUGGAAACUGACUUGGCGUAGGCCUUCUCCACCAGGGCGCUCCAAUACUCAUUACGGGUGUGAGAGUAGCUGAACAGCAGACGGCCUUCACGCACUGGCAGCCUGUCGUCCACAACCACCUCCACCCACUCACCAUACUGCCAGAACUGCACAGGGAAAGGGAGAGUGAGAUAAAGCAGAAACCAGUGUAAUUGAUCAGCAGGAAGGUUAGUAAGGAGACAAACCUGAACCUAACCAGGCAACAACUUUUUUUGUUGUUGUUGAGUCUUGUUUGUUUCCACCUGAUACAGAGGCUCGCUUAAAAUCCCCCGUGCUUUAAAUAUAUUUUUGAUAUCACAUACAUCACAAGGGUUAUUCAGCAUAACUUAAGGUGUGGUCUGCUGGGGCAGCAGCAUCUCAGCUGCUGAAAGGAAAGACUAAACAGGCUGGGAAAGUCCUGGGGAGUCCUCUGGACAAUGUGGAGGUGGUGGGAGACAGGAGAAUGGUAGCCAAGCUGUCCUCCCUACUUGACGAUGUGUCCCACCCCCUCCAGGACACCCUGUCCGCACUGUGAAGCUCCUUCAGUGACAGGCUGUUGUACGCACGGUGUCUCACUGAGAGACCACAUGUCCUUCCUUCCUGCAGCGAUCAGACUUCAUAACCAUCAGGGCCUCUGGUAGACCCCGACACAAUACAGACUGUGUUUCUUGUGUAAUAAAACGGCAAUGUGCGAUAAAGACUUUUCAACACCUUACAUUACAUACGUCACUAAAUUCUGAAAUUGCUGUUCGGUUUUACUCUAGUAAAACUAUUGUGUGCUUUUCUUCUGUGUAUUAUUGUUAGCUCAUUCUUGAUUACUGCAUGCCUUUUUAUUUUUUUAUCCGUGAUGCCACUUUUUUUUCCAUGCCACUUGCUGCAACAAUGUAGAUUUUGCCACUGUGGGACUAAUAAAGGAUUUGUAAUUCUGAUUCUGAUAAUCUCUGGUCAAUACAUUUUCAUUUAUAUGUAUUUAAAGUAGAAAGGUUUUGUUUUCCUCCCUUCAGUUCAGUUUUUUUGUAGUGGAAUAUGUUUGUUGAAUAGUGUUUCUGCUAAUUGUAUCCACCCAUUGGACAUGGACUUAUAU